GCUGACUGAGUUGCUCGAGAGAAGGAGUUCCUUGGUUCAGAAGCCCUUACUGUUAAUCAAGAGAGGGAGAUUAGAAGAGAUCAGAACCACCAGCCUGAAGAGCACUUUGCAUUUGACUACACCUUUCUACCAGCCUGUGUGUUUCUCUUCUGAUAUCUCUGGAGGGAGAAGUUCUCCAGGGAACUUCUUCAGCUUAUACAAAUAAACUCCGUGGUCGCUCUUCUGAAAGGCCCUUGCAUUCUUCAUGAUCAUGUUCAUUACUCUUCAACUCUUUGGAAACGCUUCUGGGAUCACAAGGCACAGUGAAUCUAUGAAAAGAAGCCUCUACGCUGUAUCAGAUUCUUAUAUUAAUUGAC